GAUGAGCCCGCGUCCCAUUAGCUAGUUGGUAGGGUAAAGGCCUACCAAGGCGACGAUGGGUAGCUGGUCUGAGAGGACGAUCAGCCACACUGGAACUGGAACACGGUCCAGACUCCUACGGGAGGCAGCAGUGAGGAAUAUUGCGCAAUGGGGGAAACCCUGACGCAGCGAUGCCGCGUGGGUGAAGAAGGCCUUCGGGUCGUAAAGCCCUGUCAGGCGGGAAGAACUGUCAGCAGACGAAUAAUCUGCCGAUUUGACAGUACCGCCGAAGGAAGCACCGGCUAACUCCGUGCCAGCAGCCGCGGUAAGACGGAGGGUGCGAGCGUUAUUCGGAAUUAUUGGGCGUAAAGGGUGUGCAGGCGGUCGGUCAAGUCAGAUGUGAAAGCCCGGGGCUCAACCUCGGAAGUGCAUUUGAAACUGGUCGACUUGAGUUCGGGAGAGGGAAGCGGAAUUCCGGGUGUAGAGGUGAAAUUCGUAGAUAUCCGGAGGAACACCGGUGGCGAAGGCGGCUUCCUGGACCGAAACUGACGCUGAGACACGAAAGCGUGGGGAGCAAACAGGAUUAGAU
rnacentral:rRNA from 1 species